AGUGAACGCUGGCGGUAGGCCUAACACAUGCAAGUCGAACGGCAGCACAGGAGAGCUUGCUCUCUGGGUGGCGAGUGGCGGAAGGGUGAGGAAUACAUCGGAAUCUACUCUGUCGUGGGGGAUAACGUAGGGAAACUUACGCUAGUACCGCAUACGACCUACGGGUGAAAGCAGGGGAACUUCGGGCCUUGCGCGAUUGAAUGAGCCGAUGUCGGAUUAGCUAGUUGGCGGGGGAAAGGCCCACCAAGGCGACGAUCCGUAGCUGGUCUGAGAGGAUGAUCAGCCACACUGGAACUGAGACACGGUCCAGACUCCUACGGGAGGCAGCAGUGGGGAAUAUUGGACAAUGGGCGCAAGCCUGAUCCAGCCAUACCGCGUGGGUGAAGAAGGCCUUCGGGUUGUAAAGCCCUUUUGUUGGGAAAGAAAUCCAGCUGGCUAAUACCCGGUUGGGAUGACGGUACCCAAAGAAUAAGCACCGGCUAACUUCGUGCCAGCAGCCGCCGUAA
rnacentral:rRNA from 1 species